GACGAACGCUGGCGGCGUGCCUAAUACAUGCAAGUAGAACGCUGAAGGAGGAGCUUGCUUCUCUGGAUGAGUUGCGAACGGGUGAGUAACGCGUAGGUAACCUGCCUGGUAGCGGGGGAUAACUCUUGGAAACGAUAGCUAAUACCGCAUAAGAGUAGAUGUUGCAUGACAUUUACUUAAAAGGUGCAAUUGCAUCACUACCAGAUGGUCCUGCGUUGUAUUAGCUAGUUGGUGAGGUAACGGCUCACCAAGGCAACGAUACAUAGCCGACCUGAGAGGGUGAGCGGCCACACUGGGACUGAGACACGGCCCAGACUCCUACGGGAGGCAGCAGUAGGGAAUCUUCGGCAAUGGACGGAAGUCUGACCGAGCAACGCCGCGUGAGUGAAGAAGGUUUUCGGAUCGUAAAGAUCUGUUGUAAGAGAAGAACGAGAGUGAGAGUGGAAAGUUCACACUGUGACGGUAACUUACCAGAAAGGGAAGGCUAACUACGUG
rnacentral:rRNA from 1 species